rnacentral:rRNA from 1 species
UGAAACCCAUUAGCUAGCUUAAAUCUUAAAA